rnacentral:rRNA from 1 species
UACAGAGGGUGCGAGCGUUUAAUCGGAAUUACUGGGCGUAAAGCGCGCGUAGGCGGCUUUGCAAGUCGGGUGUGAAAUCCCCAGGCUUAACCUGGGAACUGCAUUCGAGACUGCAUUGCUAGAGUAUGGGAGAGGGAAGUGGAAUUUCAGGUGUAGCGGUGAAAUGCGUAGAUAUCGGAAGGAACAUCAGUGGCGAAAGCGACUUCCUGGACCAAUACUGACGCUCAUGUGCGAAAGCGUGGGGAGCAAACAGG